rnacentral:tRNA from 1 species
GGGCGUUUAGCUCAGUUGGUUAGAGCACACCCCUGAUAAGGGUGAGGUCCCUGGUUCGAAUCCAGGAACGCCCACCU